rnacentral:tRNA from 1 species
CACUGCAUAUCGUUGUGCAUACCCCUAUGGCCACGAAUCACUCCAAAUGGUCCUUA